rnacentral:lncRNA from 1 species
AAACUCUUUCAGAUGAUUGUAGGGAUUUUCAUUUUGCAACCCACAAAAAGUUGGCAGUAAAUGGAUUAAACCUGACUUCAACUCAAAAUUAGUAUCCACAGUAGGAUACGCGAUGCAUAAUGGCGGUUGUUCUGUUGGAGCUUCGGCCAGUUGCCGAAUCAUUUGAGCCAUUGGUUGGUGUGCUAGAUUUGGGUUUUCG